GACAGAGGGUGCAAACGUUGCUCGGAAUUACUGGGCGUAAAGCGCGUGUAGGUGGAUUGGUGUGUCAGAUGUGAAAGCCCUGGGCUCAACCCAGGAACUGCACCUGAAACUACCAGUCUUGAGUGGUGGAGAGGGAAGUGGAAUUCCUGGUGUAGAGGUGAAAUUCGUAGAUAUCAGGAGGAACGCCAGUGGCGAAGGCGGCUUCCUGGACACUAACUGACGCUGAGACGCGAAAGCGUGGGGAGCAAACAGG
rnacentral:rRNA from 1 species